rnacentral:rRNA from 1 species
AUACGGAGGGUGCAAGCGUUACUCGGAAUCACUGGGCGUAAAGCGCGCGCAGGCGGCUUGAUAAGUUGGAUGUGAAAUCCUAUGGCUCAACCAUAGAACUGCAUCCAAAACUGUCAAACUAGAGUCUGGGAGAGGAAGAUGGAAUUAGUUGUGUAGGGGUAAAAUCCGUAGAGAUAACUAGGAAUACCAAAAGCGAAGGCGAUCUUCUGGAACAGUACUGACGCUGAGGCGCGAAAGCGUGGGGAGCAAACAGGAUUAGAAACCCGAGUAGUCC